AUUCUCUCCACCCUCUCCCCUCCAAAAUUGCACUUAACUCUUUCCCUCUGUGUUUUCUGUGCUUGCCCUUUUAUUUUUGGGAUGGAGCUUGCCUCAAGUGUCAGAACACUUGGUUUUCAAAAUGAAGUCUGCAAGACAGUGAGCUGGUUGGAGCAGCUUGUCUGUGACUGCUGCACUCCAACCACUGAACCCAAUAGCCUCAUUCUUUCUAAAGCGAAAGUGGACCUUCCUACCUGCCACAGUCUGCCCUUUGGCUGUUAAGGGCACAGGUAGUGACUUCUGGGGACAUUACAUUCUGGACAUGUUACAUUUCUGAGGGAAGCAUCAAGCCUCACUGGGCUUUGGUGGGUCUGAGAAUAUGUUCAAUCUUCCUUAUGAAACAUCUUUCUUUAAUGAAUGCUUUUAUGCUUGUUUAUAGCCUCUUUCCAAGCAGGUCACAGGGAAUACUUGAGCAAAAGAAGAAACUAAUUCUGUAAAGUGUUUACAGAAUUAUAUUUCUUGCUAUGUGACAGUCUGGGUCAGAUGUUGGGGGUUCAUGAUGGUGGGUUCAAGAAAGUCCAAAAAAGGUAAAGCUUUAAUUUCUUUUUAAAAAAUAUUUAUUUUAGUUUAUUUUUCUUUUAUAGGAAAUAUACAUGGCCACUGUAUAAAAAUUAGAAAAUAUAGGAAAGUAUAAAUAAAAAUUUAAAUUAUGCUAUCAUUCUUUACCCAAUUUUAUAUUUUACUAUUAGUAUGUAAUAUUCCUUCUUGAAUUAGCAUAUUAUUGUUACUUAAUAUUCUUCCAUGUUAUUAAAAACCCAAACAUGAAUCAAAGAUAGCAUUAAUGAAGGUGUGAAAUUCCAUUGUAUGGAUGUGCCAACAUUUACAUUUAACUAUUCUACUGUUUAGGUUGGUCCAUUCAAAUUGUUCAAGACUUUUCUCUAAGUUGAGCUGAGACUUAAAUAAAUGUGUACAAUUUUCAUAUGUUGAUUUAAAAAUUUUCUUUAAAAUUUUUGAAAAUUAAAAAGUAUUUCAAUGAUAAUGAUAAAAGCAGCUAGCAUUUAUGACAGCACUUACUAUGAGCUGGUUAUUUUUUUAAAAUAUAUAUAUUUAUUUUUUAGUUGUAGUUGGACACAAUGCCCUUAUUUAUUUAUUUUUAUGUGGUGCUGAGAAUUGAACCCAAGGCCUCAAACGUACUAGGUGAGUGCUCUACCACUGAGCCACGACCCCAGCCCCUGAGCUGGUAAAAUUCUAAGCACCAACAUUAAUGUAUUUAACCCUCACCGUGAACCUCUACGGUAAGUAUUUUAUCCCCUUUUACACGUGGGAUGCUGAAGCAUAGUGAAGUAAGUAACCAAAUAAAGAGCACACAGCUGACAGACAGAUUUGGAAAUAAAACCAAGCAAAUGUGGCUCUAGAGACUAAAUAAAUCAGAAAGGGAAAUGUGCUUUAUUAUAAAUUUAAAAGCCAACCAGCCAAAGUCCUGUGAUUAUGAUGUAGAAUGUCUUUCGGUUUUGCAUUUCAUAAACAAAUGUUUUAUUUUUGAGCAAUAGAAUCCAUGGACUUCCCUUUUUUUUUCCUUUAGAAAAUUUGGGGAAUUGAAUAGCAAUUUUUCAUAUUUGUUCUAAAUUUUAACCCCUGUGGCUGCCACAGGAUGUGCCCAUGCAUAGCUAGCUGACUCUGCCUGUGGUUUGCACCAAGGGGAAACUGCUUUGUCAAGUUGACACCUCAUUCAUUAACAGUGGGGGAAGAGACGCUUUUAAGGAAACACAGGUAGCUCAGAGGGACUGGAGUCUUGGUCAUCAGGAAGUCUGAAGGAGGCAAGCUGCGGGCCAAAGAAGGCAGUGGGCAUCAGGAGUCAGGUCACAGAGAAGCUUCCAGUUCAUGCUGGACACAAGGCAAAGUAUUUGAAAAAUGUUAACAGAAGGAGACAGAGACUGAUUUGCACUUUGGCAAAAAUCACAUUGGAUGCUGUGGGAUCGAAUAAACAAAGAGGAGAAAGUGAAAAGAAAAACCAGUUGCUUAGACAGGAACAUGGUCAUAGUGAGAAAGGAGGGCCUAACCUCAGACUGCAGCAGUGUGGGGAUGGUGACAGGUGGAUGCACCUAAUUUCAAAUACAGACUAGAGCUGGAGAUUGAGCAGAUGUAGGAGAUGCAGGGAGUACGGGUGGGGAGUACGGGUGGGGAGGUCAAG
rnacentral:lncRNA from 1 species